AGUAACAGCCAUGUCUCCUGGUGGAGUCAGGACCUUCACUAUUGCACAGCAGUAACCAGGCCCCCCUUCCUUCACCCCCACAGUGUUAGUGGAGGCCUUCCUACCCUAACCAGGCAGGGAUACACCAGUGAAGCCUAGUGGGGACAUGAAUACCCAUCUCCACCUAGGAGUAACAAGAAGCCUCCACCCCUUGAGUGUCAGCAGGGUCCAAGUGGGAGAAACUGGACUUCUACCUCCACUGGGCAAUACUGAGGCAGCACCCCAUUCUUCCCCUGCUGGAGUGGUGUCAAAGAAAACCAGCUAAAACAGAAGUCUAAGUAAGACCCAGAGUCAUAUAGCAUAACAUCCAACAUGUCCAGGUUUCAACUGAGAAUGACUCAACAUCCCAAGAACCAGGAAGACCUCAAACUGAAUGAAUAAAAGACAAUUAUGAUUAAAGGCACAGCAGGGAAUUGAAACAUUCAUCUUGCCAAUAGGAUUAGGUAAUUAGCCAGCAACUGAUCAGCUACCAUAGCUGGACUACUGCUGGGCACCAGAAGUCAGAAACAGCUCUUAGAAGACAUGCCAACAUAGCUGCUCCCUCCCUCAUCAAACUUGUCAGUAAGGCUUCAUUAAUUUCCUCUCCAUUCCUGGAGUGGGAUGGUUGAAUCAGAGUGGGACUGUGUGUGUCUGGAAGUGACCUCAACUUAAUCAGACCUCAACUCAAUCAACUAGGAAACUUCUAGGGCCGGGCAACCUAUUCCAGUCCCAGUUCUUGUAGUAAUUUGACCAUAGUGAAUCCACAACUGGGUUCAUUUAAUACUCCAAAAUUCAUGGUUUGACCACAGUUUUAUUUUGGUGGUGACUAAACUAACCCCACCUCCGGGAGAUGAACUGACAGUACCUCUGGGCAUCCUAAGCAUGGUCUGGAUAAAACAACAGUCACCAUCAAGGAGAUAACAUCAUGCAGGACAGCUGGGAGGUUGAUGCUGAUGUGCACAGCAGAUAUGAAGUAAGACAGAGAGGGCUCAAAGAGAACCACUCCUAAAGACUGAGUGUGAGUACAAGUCAAGGAGACUGGCAUCUCAUUCCAUCAGACUUGUUGAUUUGCCUUGUGCUUAUCUGAGAAGGAGACAGAUGGCAGACGGAGACAGAUGGCAGACGGAAACAGAAGUAUCGGAGGCGGCCUAUUUCUCACCGUUUGGCACGGCGAGGAUGCAUGCGCUUUCUGUGGGUCAAGUGAUAUUACAGAAAGCUGUCAGGUUUGCAUCUUUUGGCUGCUGCUCCACCCCAAAGGAAACAAUGUUGGCCAGAGAAGCAGCAUCAGAAGAUGAAGAAGGCAGAGGAGUGAAAGAGAAUGGAACUUGUCCCUUUCCCCUUGCAGGCCUCUCAAGUGAGCUGACGAGGGGAAGAAACGAUGAAUAAGUUCUGCUUUGUUGUCUGAUCUGCUUUCUUACACUGUAUAGUAUGGUGGAAUCAUACAGUAUGUACUUUUCUGU